UACGUAGGGGGCAAGCGUUGUCCGGAUUCAUUGGGCGUAAAGAGCGUGUAGGCGGCCAGGUAGGUCGGUUGUGAAAACUGGAGGCUCAACCUUCAGAGGUCGACCGAAACCAUCUGGCUAGAGUCCGGGAGAGGAGAGUGGAAUUCCUGGUGUAGCGGUGAAAUGCGCAGAUAUCAGGAAGAACACCCGUGGCGAAAGCGGCUCUCUGGAACGGUACUGACGCUGAGACGCGAAAGCGUGGGGAGCGAUCCGG
rnacentral:rRNA from 1 species